rnacentral:misc_RNA from 1 species
GAUGAAGAACGUAGCGAAAUGCGAUACGUAAUGUGAAUUGCAGAAUUCCGUGAAUCAUCGAAUCUUUGAACGCACAUUGCGCCCGCUAGUAUUCUGGCGGGCAUGCCUGUCCGAGCGUCAUUUCAACCCUCAAGCCCCCGGGCUUGGUGUUGGGGAUCGGCGAGCCUCCGCGCCCGCCGUCCCCUAAAUCUAGUGGCGGUCUCGCUGUAGCUUCCUCUGCGUAGUAGCACACCUCGCACUGGGAAACAGCGCGGCCACGCCGUUAAACCCCCAACUUCUGAACGUUUGACCUCGGAUCAGGUAGGAAUACCCGCUGAACUUAAGCAUAUCAAUAAGCGGAGGA